UACGUAGGGGCCUAGCGUUGUCCGGAAUUAUUGGGUGUAAAGAGCUCGUAGGCGGUUCGGCAAGUCGGAUGUGAAAUCUCCACGCUUAACGUGGAGGGGCCAUUCGAAACUGCUGUGACUCGAGUCCGGUAGGGGAGUGUGGAAUUCCUGGUGUAGCGGUGAAAUGCGCAGAUAUCAGGAGGAACACCGGUGGCGAAGGCGGAUCUCUGGGCCGAUACUGACGCUGAGGAGCGAAAGCGUGGGGAGCGAACAGG
rnacentral:rRNA from 1 species